rnacentral:lncRNA from 1 species
GAUUAGAAUCCGGCUGCUGCUUUAGGAACAAGUUGGAAAUGCGCCAAGGACUUAUUGCCAAAUCCAGAAUCCGGAGUAUUACCAUAGUCUAGACAGUUUGUGAUAGAUGGAUGAGUUUCAAGGUUAUUGACAAGGGAAUGUUUUGGGAACUAAGUAACUUGAGAGAGGAGUAUGCCUGUGUUUGUCUGUGAAUGCAUCACAGUUUAAACAUUUUGGUUUGGGCUUAAAACUGGUGUCAAAAAUAACAUUUAUGUUUCUGUGGUGCCUGGUAACAUUUUUAGGUUAUUCGUCAAGUUGUCUACAAAACUGAGAAAAUGACAGAACUGGAAAUUCCUCUGAAAAUUUAUGCAUCUGACUGCUGAAUCUUGUGUUGUACAGUUUGAAGUCUUCCAGUGCUAUUCCUUUGUUUAAAUUUAGCUCUUAAAGUGGAUUUUACAGACUGCAGGACAGGAAGAAUUUUGUUCCGUCAGCACAAAGAAGCAAAAUUAUUAGGGAUGUACUGAUAGAAUAACAGAAACAGCUAAUAUUUAGCCUCCUGACAGACAUUGGUCAAACACACUAAAGCAAAGCACAACUGUUAGUGUUGUAAAAUGCCACAAAUAAGGACUUUCUUGUCGAGGUUCUCCAGGCCUGUAGGGUAAGGUGACAAGACAUCCCCGAUUUCUGGGGACAGUCCCCGUAUUGGAUGACCUGUCCCCGGAAAUGUCCCCGAUUAAAGCUUUUUUUAAGAAUGAGAACAAAAACGUUGUGUGUAGACUAGAACAACGGUUAUUACGGUAGCUGAGUAGGUAGGAAGCACGAGUAAGCAUGUUGCGCGCAGUCCUGAACAACAGUUUUUACGGGGGGUUAUUACAGGCUAGCAUCCAGAUGCUACAACUAAAGCCCUGCACUGGUCUCUGGAGAUGGGCAGAUCACUGUCCCUGACAUCCUUCUUUUUCUAAUUUCUUAACUGCAGUAUGAAUAAAGGAAUUGAUUCAUGUAUAUUUUUCAACUUUGGGAUUAUUAAUUUACUGAACAUUUAAUAACUUCCAAGCUACAUUUAUUAAACUCAAAGUUCUUCAUGCUCCAGGCCUGAUAACUUCAGUAUCUUGGCGCUCCUGAAGCUCCUGUGGUUGAGAAGUAAAGACCAACACACCCCAAUACAUCUGACACAGGUUAGCUAAUAGCAGUGGUGGCCACACUGAGAUUGGUAACUGACCUAAGCUUAAUGCUUGUUACUUAAUGAUAGCUCUCUGUCCAUCAGAAACCCUUUCUUGAUAAUGAUUGUCAACAUCUUAUUUAUGUUUAUUAAGUUGUGUUUUGGCACAGAGGAUGAGGACAUGAUUGUCAGAAUUACUCCACUCCAGUUGCGUUCAAGGCAGGGUGAUCUAAUGACAGAUAUAUCAGUGUGUGGUCCUGCCAAUACCACAUUUGACUUACCGCCCCCUACAGGCCUGCAGGACUCAAGUGAAGAAGUUUUUGAUUUGCUGUGUUUAUCUCUUGAAUGCCUUUUCUGCUUUAAACUUUGCUUCAUUUGUGUUUUUGUGGCAUAUUUGCUGUGUACGCAGCUGUUUCUGCUUUUUGCAUCACGUCAUGUCAUUUGCUCUGCGUUCGCCUCAUCUUUUUGGGUGUGGUUUUGUGUUUGGAUCGUUCAAGCUUUUGCAGCACUUUUGACUUCAUGAAAAUUGUUCGGACCAUUUCAGAUUCUCCGCCCUUGUCAGCCACCGUAGCUAACAAACAACAGUUUCAUAGCUCAACUGAAACAGGCAUAGCAAUUAAAAGAAAACACUGGUUUAUGGAUUGACUAUCGAUUGCAUCACUAUUUUCCCCAUGGGUAACAGUAUUGGCCCUUAUUUACACAAUUGCUGCACCUCUAUGUGAUAUAAGUGAGUAUGUGGUUGAUGUCCAAAAGGUUUAUGAUAAAUAUGUCAUAGUUGGUCCUGACUCAACACCAAAAUAAUCCUACUUCCAGUUGACAAAGACCUGAAGACUGUUUUCAUCUCGGUGAAUGGACACAGACCAGCUGAAUUUUCAAUCACUGCUCACGAAGGUCAAGGAGGAUAAAGUGAUCAGUGGCGUGAAAUGCAACACAGAGGUCAAGGUGAACCAGCGCUGAUAGAUGACUAACAGCAGCUGCUAAAAGCAGAACAUUCAUCACACUAAGUACAAGUGCAGGGCAGCAAUGAGCCCCGGCCAGCACCUAAUGAAACUUAGUCAAAUCCAUUUGUUACGGUAAAUAAAACAACUCUGUCUCUGUCUGUGAUGUUAGUCUGUGACUGCAUGCUGUAUUAAUUGCAUCAGAAAGCGUAUAGGGAUUGUCACAGCAUCAAAUAAAGGUAUGAGCUAAAAAUUAAACACAUAAACCCCAUAUUUGAAUAAAAAUCUACAUAACACUAUCCAGGUGUUUGAAUUCGUUCGGGGUCAUCGUGGUGCUUUGAUUCCACCGACUGUAAAUUAUGUGUUUUUUUUGUCAUUUGGAACUCCAACCAUCCUUUAUCCCUCUCUCUCUCCUUUUUCUCCUCCCCCUCUCUGGCCAGAGCUCAGGGACACAUUUACUCAGGAACAUUUAGAGCGUACUGAAACCUCCUGGCUCAACACUGAACACAGGUUCAGAUAGGUAGAGAUAUGAUUAUCAGGUUGAAAGGGGGAAGUGAAUGAGAUGUUGGAACAAGAACAACAGGCAUAAACAGGGACGACACGUCCUCCCUGAGUGUAUUACCUGAUCGGGACAUAUCGGAGUUGCAUCUGAGGGAGGCCUCCCAGAGACCAUUGUCUCCAGAUUGCUCCUGGUCCCCCUCAAUUACAGGGUUAUGUGGUUGUCAGCAGUGGUUUGAAAAAAGGGGUCAGUGUGUGAAUGGAGGCGCUAUGAGAGGGUGUUAAAAAACUGAGGCUGUUUCACACAAAACACGGAGGUGAGAGACUCACCAUUUACCAAAACUAAACUCAUCUCCCACUUUCUCUCACCCAAACACAGCUCUCCAGCCGUUGAUGAAAAUGUUCCAAAAUGUCCUAAACCCUCUGUGUUGUUUUAAGAUGACAGACAUAGAGCUAAUCAGGGGAUGAUGGGCUGUUUAUUGCAUUUUUGGCCUAACAUAGAUCAGAUCAACUGUGCCGUGAGGGUGCCUGCGGCAGAUCAGCCGUCUGACGAGGCCUGUUCUACCAUGGUGACCCUGUUCAUUUGCUGCAGGGCCUGAAGGGAGGCAGAGUAGAGUGAGGUCAAGAGGAAUUGGAAAUUUGAUCCCCCUCCAAAAAAAGUGAAAUGACAUUCCAAUAACCCUGAGACCCGCCGCUUGGACCUGCCUCACAGAAUGGCCUGAGGCUGUGGUGUGUGUGUUUGCAUUUCAUCAAUACCAAGAGUGUGUGUGCGCUGAAAUGAAGCAUGUUCAGACCACUGAUCACUAUUCCAGCAUACAGAAUGCAGUUUGAUGCUCAAAUGCACAGACUCUGAAUAUUUUAUUGGUCCUUUUGAAACUAGAGGGUGACUUUAUGCAACAUUUUCCAUGUCUGUGGUUUAACAUAAAAGACAGGAUAGUAUAAACGGUAGGAGAGGGAAAAAAAACAAGUUGUAAAAUGUCUAAAAAGAACAGAAGUCAGACAGUAUAUUGUGGACAAAAGCAAAAAUGAGCACUACAGCAGAUGCUGUUAGCAGUUCUGUAGAUACAGUUAGUUGUCUGUGUAACCGAGCAGCAAACACACAGCUGCUGUGGAGGUUUGACAUCAGAACCAGGACGUGCAGUGUCUGCUGUUUAUGUUGUGCUGGCUGGACUUUUUUGAGAACAAAUAUUCACAACACUACAAGUGAAAUAAAUGCUCUUCAGUUUAGCCAUCGAUUCCUUGAAAAAGGGUGUGAGUGUGUUUUUAUGUUUUUGCAGCAAUAAGAGGAAAAAAAGCUUAUGAAACAACACCUGUGAUGUUUUUAUGUAUGCAGUACACCUCUAUAACCCCACACACUGCAUCUGUCUUUCCAUUUUCCACAUUUUGUGUGUGUGAGUGAGUGAGUGAGUGUGUGUGUGAGCAUGUCCAGCUGGCAGAGGACUCAGAUGAUUCUGGGAAGUUAAAGGUUGAGUGGGCGUAUGUUUGCGCUUUAAGGUGAAUUUGAUCAAAUGUGUUUGUCUGUCUGUGUGUGUUUUACACCCAGGAUUUCCCAUCCUCUAAUGUUGAGCAUCUACUGUCUGAAUAAAAAAAAUAAAAAGACAAAACACUUAUAUUUCCUCCCACAAACACUGUGUUUCAAUACUUUUUCACAAAAAGCAUGCACACUACAGAAGACGGUGAUUGGGGGAAAAAACAUCUCUGUAAGUUAGACUAAGCAUGAUAUGUGAAACAUCUUCUGCUACAUCAUUUCCUUGACACUGACCCAAAAUUGUAUAAUCAAGACAUUCCUAUGUUAGGAUGUAAGCAGCAUUUUUCCCAGACUAGGUCAGGGUUCUGGUCGUGCGUCGCGCCUGUGGAUCACUUCAAUUUUCCGUUGCGGUAAAGCCAGCAACCCUUUUCCGUAAAUGUCUUCUCGCUCCAUGGAUGAAAAAGAAAAAAAAGACCUCUGUAAGUGUCAGCUAAAUUUUCCAGAAUGACUUUAGUCAUAAAUUAAAUACAAAUUUCACCAUUAGAUUAGCUGAACUAAAACAAUAUCUAAAUUUGACGCUUUGCCACCACAGUUUGCCAAAAGUAGAGUCCUAAUUUCACUGUCUGGAGGGUUUCCCUGCGGAAGGUUCUUUAAAGUUCAGUAAGGCCCACACUCAUCAAUGAGUAACCCCAAAACCCCACAGAUUGCUUGUCAGAGAUGGGACUGACAUUUGAAGUAGCGAGUUUGCUUAUUAAAGUGCAGGCAGUUUUUUUUAUAUCCAUUGUGCAACAGAUGCAUCAGGGAAGGACCAAACCUGCCUGAGUAACUCCCCUCCAUCGCGGAUCAUUUACCCUCUAAAUCAUUGGGGCUGUCUGGAGAGGAGGCAGAGUUCCCCAGACGGGCACAGCAAGCCGACAGAACACAAACUUCAGGCAGGGUAAGUGGCUUCUGUUGUAUGUUUACACUCUUCAAUCGAUGGGUGUUGCAUAACUUUUGGUUGGGCGCUUACCUAACCACUUGUCCCCUUUUCCCCUCUACCCCAUCUGAGGUGCUGCCUCUUCAUCUGCAAUGAAAGCUGACUAAUCACACAGCCCAGAGAGCUCUGACCACGCCAUGCUGUUCCCUCAUCCAUGCUUGAGCUCCUCCCUAAUUGGCAGCUGAGACAACAUGAGGUUCACACUGCUUUCUAAUUAACCGCUGCAAUUGGAUAAUUGAUCGGAGGAAAGGAAAGGGGGACUGGAGAGUACUCAAAAUGUUAAAGUCCUGGGAUUCUCAGUCUCUGAAGAACAAAAUGUAAACUUUUUCGUCUGCAGCUGACAGAGUGUUUCAUCAUUUCUGCAUGUUAACAUUUGAGAUGCAUCCAGUGAAUUUCAGCAGGAUCCCAUCCUCAAAUAUUCAGAAUUUCCUCAACCAAGAGGCUCCUGUCAGACUUCAGCUCAUCAAAAUCACAUUUGAAAAGUUAUUCUGACAGCCUUGAUUUGAAAACAGUCCAAUAUUAUGGAACCACAGUGGUGACAAAUAUACAUCCUUUUCUAAAUUUGUUUUAAAUGUUGCUCAGAGAUACAUUAAUGAAAAGGUAGUAAGUUUCAGUAAUUUUCAGUAGUAAGUGAACCGGACAUAGAGGGUCUCAGUCAGUUCACCCCCUUUGUUAGCUGCUGAACUGAAAGACAGUACAGGCUGAAAACAGCUACAGACAGGAAUAUCUCCACAUCUGGUCAGGAUGUCUCCUAGACGUCUCACUGGUGAGGUGUUCAUGGAAGACCAAGGAUAUGCUGGGGAGAUGUGUCUCUAAUCUAUGUCUCUAAGCUGGCCCGGGAACGCCUCAGGGUCCCCCAGGAAGAGGUGGACAAAGUGGCCACGGAGAAGGAAGUCUGGGUUUCCCUGCUUUGGCUUACUGCUCAGUCUACAUGAUGCUAGAUAAGGAGUAGAAGAUGGAUAGAUGGAUGAUUUUGAGGGAUAUUCCGGCAUAAAAUUAAUUUAGGGUCAAACACACCGUAACACUGAGUUAGACACCUCCUCGAGAGAUGAAAGUUGCUGACCGCUUGCUUCUCUAGUUAUACCAACUUUAGUAACAGCCGCAGGAUAGCAAUACACAGUGGUCUGAGGAGCCACACACAAACCUCAACCAAAACGCCA